UGUAAGAUGAAAUGGGUGGGUUCUAUGAACUCCCACCUUUAUGAUGAGGACUGAUUUUGGGUUGAUGAUAUUUAUAAUGGUGGAUUAGUGUUUAAAAUGUUGGAUUAUUGGUGCAUAAUUAGUGGAAACUUCAAGGAGAGCAAAAGGCCAAAUCUGACCAUUUUGCCCCUGACUUGUAAAUGCAAUAUUUUGAGGUUCUAAUGGGUUGAUUGUGUUGUUUA
rnacentral:lncRNA from 1 species